rnacentral:rRNA from 1 species
GAUGAACGCUAGCGGCAGGCUUAAUACAUGCAAGUCGUACGGGAUCCGAGGUAGCAACACUUUGGUGAGAGUGGCGCACGGGUGCGUAACACGUAUGCAACCUACCUAUAACCGGGACACAACCUCGAGAAAUUGUGGCUAAUAUCCCAUAACACUGCGAAAUGGCAUCAUUUUGCAGUUAAAACUCCGGUGGUUAAAGAUGGGCAUGCGCGACAUUAGCUAGUUGGUGAGGUAACGGCCCACCAAGGCUACGAUGUCUAGGGGUUCUGAGAGGAUUAUCCCCCACACUGGUACUGAGACACGGACCAGACUCCUACGGGAGGCAGCAGUAAGGAAUAUUGGUCAAUGGGCGCAAGCCUGAACCAGCCAUGCCGCGUGAAGGAUGACGGCCCUAUGGGUUGUAAACUUCUUUUGUACGGGAAAAAACCACCGGUCGUGUAUCGGUGCUGAUGGUACCGUAAGAAUAAGCAUCGGCUAACUCCGUGCCAGCCGCCGCCGUAA